rnacentral:rRNA from 1 species
GGUACAGUCGUUGCAGUGGCGGCGUUAUGACGAAGGGGGCUAGGGUGGUUCGGAAUGAUUGGGCGUAAAGCGCACUUAGGCGGACAUUUAAGGCAGGGGUGAAAUCCCGGGGCUCAACCCCGGAACUGCUUUUGAUACUGGGUGUCUGGAGGUCGAGAGAGGUGAGUGGAAUUCCGGGGGUAGAGGUGAAAUUCGUAGAUAUUCGGAGGAACACCAGUGGCGAAGGCGGCUCACUGGCUCGAACCUGACGCUGAGGUGCGAAAGCGUGGGGAGCAAACAGGAUUAGAUACCCCGGUAGUC